AGCAUUGGAGCUAUGAGAAGAGACAUCCCUCCCAAGGCUAUUGUGAGCCUUGUGACACAAGUCCAAGACCUUGCACAUAAGAGGAGGUACUUAGAAAUCUGCCCCAUGGAGAGGUCCAAGCUGCAAGAAACUGAUACCUUCACCUAACAGCCGGUGAGGACCUGAGGUCUGUCAACAGCCACCUGCGUGAUCUCGGAGGCAGAUCCUCUUCUAGCUGAGCCUGGGGAUGACUGCAGUCCUGGCCAACGCCCUCAUGACAGCCUUGUGUGAGAGACCCCGGGCCAAAGGGAUGCAGAUAAGCCACACUUGGAUUCCUGACUCACCGCUGGAGUGCAAUGGCGUGAUCUCGGCUCACUUCAAC